GAUGAACGCUGGCGGCGUGCCUAAUACAUGCAAGUCGAGCGAACGGACGAGAAGCUUGCUUUUCUGAUGUUAGCGGCGGACGGGUGAGUAACACGUGGAUAACCUACCUAUAAGACUGGGAUAACUUCGGGAAACCGGAGCUAAUACCGGAUAAUAUUUUGAACCGCAUGGUUCAAAAGUGAAAGACGGUCUUGCUGUCACUUAUAGAUGGAUCCGCGCUGCAUUAGCUAGUUGGUAAGGUAACGGCUUACCAAGGCAACGAUGCAUAGCCGACCUGAGAGGGUGAUCGGCCACACUGGAACUGAGACACGGUCCAGACUCCUACGGGAGGCAGCAGUAGGGAAUCUUCCGCAAUGGGCGAAAGCCUGACGGAGCAACGCCGCGUGAGGGAUGAAGGUCUUCGGAUCGUAAAACUCUGUUAUUAGGGAAGAACAUAUGUGUAAGUAACUGUGCACAUCUUGACGGUACCUAAUCAGAAAGCCACGGCUAACUACGUG
rnacentral:rRNA from 1 species